GUUUUACUCCCUCCGUCCCAAAAUUCUUGUCUUAGAUUUGUCUAGAUACGGAUGUAUCUAGUGACAUUUUAGUGUUAUACACAUCCGUAUCUAGACAAAUCUAAGACAAGAAUUUUGGGACCGAGGGAGUAUUAG
rfam:Triticum aestivum genome assembly, contig: Triticum_aestivum_CS42_TGACv1_scaffold_273763_3DS